CCUACGGGUGGCAGCAGUAGGGAAUUUUCGUCAAUGGGCGCAAGCCUGAACGAGCAAUGCCGCGUGAACGAGGAAGGUCUUCGGAUCGUAAAGUUCUGUUGAAGGGGAAAAAGAGCGGAGAGAGGAAAUGGUCUCCGAUUGAUAUUACCCUUCGAGGAAGUCACGGCUAACUACGUGCCAGCAGCCGCGGUAAUACGGAGGAUGCGAGCGUUAUCCGGAUUUAUUGGGUUUAAAGGGUGCGCAGGCGGGAGAUCAAGUCAGCGGUAAAAUGUCGGGGCUCAACCCCGGCCGGCCGUUGAAACUGGUUUUCUAGAGUUGGAGAGAAGUAUGCGGAAUUCGUGGUGUAGCGGUGAAAUGAAUAGAUAGCACGAAGAACUCCGAUUGCGAAGGCAGCAUACGGGCUCCAUACUGACGCUGAGGCACGAAAGCGUGGGGAUCGAACAGGAUUAGAGACCCGAGUAGUC
rnacentral:rRNA from 1 species